rnacentral:tRNA from 1 species
UGGAUUUUGAUAGAUCCUUUAGA